rnacentral:rRNA from 1 species
CAUGCAGUCGAACGGCAGCACGGGUGCUUGCACCUGGUGGCGAGUGGCGAACGGGUGAGUAAUACAUCGGAACAUGUCCUGUAGUGGGGGAUAGCCCGGCGAAAGCCGGAUUAAUACCGCAUACGAUCUACGGAAGAAAGCGGGGGACCUUCGGGCCUCGCGCUAUAGGGUUGGCCGAUGGCUGAUUAGCUAGUUGGUGGGGUAAAGGCCUACCAAGGCGACGAUCAGUAGCUGGUCUGAGAGGACGACCAGCCACACUGGGACUGAGACACGGCCCAGACUCCUACGGGAGGCAGCAGUGGGGAAUUUUGGACAAUGGGCGAAAGCCUGAUCCAGCAAUGCCGCGUGUGUGAAGAAGGCCUUCGGGUUGUAAAGCACUUUUGUCCGGAAAGAAAUCCUGAGGGCUAAUAUCCUUCGGGGAUGACGGUACCGGAAGAAUAAGCACCGGCUAACUACGUGCCAGCAGCCGCGGUAAUACGUAGGGUGCGAGCGUUAAUCGGAAUUACUGGGCGUAAAGCGUGCGCAGGCGGUUUGCUAAGACCGAUGUGAAAUCCCCGGGCUCAACCUGGGAACUGCAUUGGUGACUGGCAGGCUAGAGUAUGGCAGAGGGGGGUAGAAUUCCACGUGUAGCAGUGAAAUGCGUAGAGAUGUGGAGGAAUACCGAUGGCGAAGGCAGCCCCCUGGGCCAAUACUGACGCUCAUGCACGAAAGCGUG